CAGCCGCCGCGGUAAUACGUAGGUGGCGAGCGUUGUCCGGAAUUAUUGGGCGUAAAGCGCGCGCAGGCGGUCUCUUAAGUCUGAUGUGAAAGCCCCCGGCUCAACCGGGGAGGGUCAUUGGAAACUGGGAGACUUGAGUGCAGGAGAGGGAAGCGGAAUUCCAUGUGUAGCGGUGAAAUGCGUAGAGAUAUGGAGGAACACCAGUGGCGAAGGCGGCUUCCUGGCCUGUAACUGACGCUGAGGCGCGAAAGCGUGGGGAGCAAACAGGAUUAGAUACCCUGGUAGUCCACGCCGUAAACGAUGAGUGCUAGGUGUUAGGGGGCUUGCCCCUUAGUGCUGCAGCUAACGCAUUAAGCACUCCGCCUGGGGAGUACGGUCGCAAGACUGAAACUCAAAGGAAUUGACGGGGGCCCGCACAAGCGGUGGAGCAUGUGGUUUAAUUCGAAGCUACGCGAAGAACCUUACCAGGUCUUGACAUCCCGCUGACCGCCAUGGAGACAUGGCCUUCCCUUCGGGGACAGCGGUGACAGGUGGUGCAUGGUUGUCGUCAGCUCGUGUCGUGAGAUGUUGGGUUAAGUCCCGCAACGAGCGCAACCCUUGUCCUUAGUUGCCAUCAUUCGGUUGGGCACUCUAAGGAGACUGCCGUACAAAUACGGAGGAAGGUGGGGAUGACGUCAAAUCAUCAUGCCCCUUAUGACCUGGGCUACACACGUGCUACAAUGGGCGGUACAAAGGGCUGCGAACCCGCGAGGGGGAGCGAAUCCCAAAAAGCCGCUCUCAGUUCGGAUUGCAGGCUGCAACUCGCCUGCAUGAAGCCGGAAUCGCUAGUAAUCGCGGAUCAGCAUGCCGCGGUGAAUACGUUCCCGGGCCUUGUACACACCGCCCGUCACACCACGAGAGUCUGUAACACCCGAAGUCGGUGAGGUAACCCUUCCGGGAGCCAGCCGCCGAAGGUGGGACAGAUGAUUGGGGUG
rnacentral:rRNA from 1 species